rnacentral:rRNA from 1 species
CGCGUAGGGGGCGAGCGUUGUCCGGAUUUAUUGGGCGUAAAGAGCUCGUAGGCGGCUCAGUAAGUCGGGUGUUAAACCCCCAGGCUCAACCUGGGGACGCCACUCGAUACUGCUGUGACUAGAGUCCGGUAGGGGAGCGUGGAAUUCCUGGUGUAGCGGUGAAAUGCGCAGAUAUCAGGAGGAACACCAGCGGCGAAGGCGGCGCUCUGGGCCGGUACUGACACUGAGGAGCGAAAGCGUGGGUAGCAAACAGG